rnacentral:rRNA from 1 species
GAUGAACGCUGGCGGCGUGCCUAAUACAUGCAAGUCGAACGCUGGAGCUCUAGCUUGCUAGAUCGAAGGAGUGGCGAACGGGUGAGUAAUACAUAAGCAACCUACCCACGAAGACUGGGAUAAUCUCUGGAAACGGGGACUAAUACCGGGUAGGUAAUCGGAAGGCAUCUUCUGGUUAUUAAAGGUUAAAAACACUGGUGGAUGGGCUUAUGGCGCAUUAGUUAGUUGGUGAGGUAACGGCCCACCAAGACGAUGAUGCGUAGCCGGCCUGAGAGGGUGAACGGCCACAUUGGGACUGAGACACGGCCCAGACUCCUACGGGAGGCAGCAGUAGGGAAUUUUCGGCAAUGGGGGCAACCCUGACCGAGCAACGCCGCGUGAGUGAAGACGGCCUUCGGGUUGUAAAGCUCUGUUGUAAGGGAAGAACGGUAGAUAGAGAAUAUCUAAGUGACGGUACCUUACCAGAAAGCCACGGCUAACUACGUG